rnacentral:rRNA from 1 species
AGGGUUUGAUCCUGGCUCAGAACGAACGCUGGCGGCGUGGCUAACACAUGCAAGUCAAACGGACUAUCUAAUUGAGUAAUCGAGAAGAUAGUUAGUGGCGAAAGGGUUAGUAAUGGAUAGGUAACGUACCCUCUCCUUCGGGAUAGCGUCGGUUGCUUCGGCAACCUUCCGAAAGGGGCGGUAAUACCGGAUAAUAUCACUUGUUGAUAGACAAGUGCUCAAAGAUUUAUCGGAAGAGGAGCGGCCUAUCUCCUAUCAGCUUGUUGGUGAGGUAAUGGCUCACCAAGGCUAUGACGGGUAGCGGGACUGAGAGGUUGACCCGCAACAUCGGGACUGAGACACUGCCCGGACCUCCACGGAGGGCUGCAGUAACGAAUAUUGCGCAAUGGGCGAAAGCCUGACGCAGCGACGCCGCGUGUAGGAGGAAGUCCCUUGGGAUGUAAACUACUGUCAGGGGGAAGAAAGUUCACUUCGGUGAAUUGAUCUAACCCACAGGAAGUCACGGCUAACUUCGUGCCAGCAGCCGCGGUAAGACGAAGGUGGCUAGCGUUGUUCGGUGUCACUGGGCUUAAAGCGUGUGUAGGCGGAAAGAUUAGCGUCUUGUGAAAUACCUCGGCUUAACCGAGGAGUUGCUCGGCGAACUGUCUUUCUUGAGGCAAGUAGGGGUGCAUGGAACUCUUGGUGGAGCGGUGGAAUGCGUAGAUAUCAAGAGGAACGCCAACGGAGAAAUCAGUGCACUGGGCUUGUCCUGACGCUGAGACACGAAAGCGUGGGGAGCGAACGGGAUUAGAUACCCCGGUAGUCCACGCUGUAAACGAUGUCUACUAGGUUGUGGAAGUUCUGACACUUUCGCGACCAAAGCAAAAGUGUUAAGUAGACCGCCUGGGGAGUACGGCCGCAAGGCUAAAACUCAAAGGAAUUGACGGGGGCUCACACAAGCGGUGGAGCAUGUGGAUUAAUUCGAAGCAACGCGUAGAACCUUACCUGGGUUUGACAUGCUUGGAUGCUGCCUGCGAAAGUGGGUUAGUUGCCCUUCGGGGUGAAACUUGCACAGGUGCUGCAUGGCUGUCGUCAGCUCGUGUCGUGAGAUGUCGGGUUAAGUCCUUUAACGAGCGAAACCCUUGCCAUUAGUUGCCAGCGGAUCAUGCCGGGGACUCUAAUGGGACUGCCGGUGUUAAACCGGAGGAAGGCGGGGACGACGUCAAGUCAUCAUGGCCUUUAUGCCUAGGGCUUCACACGUGCUACAAUGGUGGCAACAAAGCGACGCAAAGCCGUGAGGUCGAGCAAAUCGCAAAAAUGUCGCCUCAGUUCGGAUUGUAGGCUGGCAACUCGCCUGCAUGAAGUUGGAAUCGCUAGUAAUCGCGUAUCAGCUACGACGCGGUGAAUGUAUUCCUGAGCCUUGUACACACCGCCCGUCAAGUGAUGGAAGUUGGGAGUACCCGAAGUCGGUUUGCUAACCUGAUUUAUCAGGAUGCGACUGCCUACGGUAAGCCCGAUGACUGGCACUAAGUCGUAACAAGGUA